CCCACCAGCAAACGAAUGCACGCGGACCCUCAUCCAACGAUCAGUUUAUUCUGGAUUAAUCUGCCGGUUUCGGAAUGGCAAUUGCAUUUAGCUUGGGAUUAUAGCGCAACUGCUUUUUCAACUGCCACCUCAGUUGAUGUUUUCCUUGUUGACAAAAGCCAAAGGUCGUUCUUCCAAAGAUAUCUCAAGCCAAACCAUUACUGGCCUGCCAGACAGGAUAUUCCCUACCACAACCAUGACUUCGACUUUGAGGAAAAAACGAAAAUAAAAGAUGUUAUAAAGUUCAGCUUCCACUUCUCCAUUCAAUUUUAUCCUAUAUAUGUAGACACAAAUGAAUGGAGCAGCGACAACUGUAUUAAAUUCAGACCUCGACAAGCCGAGGAAAAAUAUAUGUAUCUUGAUCCGGCAUCCUCUCGGGGAUAGAAUAAGACACACAUGCCAAACGGAAACUGGUCGCGUUGUCGGUCGUCCCUCGAAAGUGGCAAUGCAUUCACGAUGCUGAAGUCCCAUGCAAUUAUCCAAGAUGAGAUUCUUGCCCUGGAAUUUCUUCACUAACACAGUCGCGGCGAUCGGGAUGAUCACAUCAGAAUAAUUGCCGGCAAUAUAUAUUUUUCCUGUUUCUAUCGCUUACGUCCCAUGACAUAAUAUGUUAUGGGACAUAAGCGAUACAAUCUGACUAAAUGAUUAGGCUACGGUCUAUGUUAAAAAGCCAGCGAACAGCCUUUUUUGCCCGCUGAGGCUGGUUGAUCAAUGCAGCCUCUCUGUUGUGACUAUAAAUAGACCGAAGACAGCGCAUUUCAGUGCUGCCAAAAGCGCAAGCGGACUGCUGCCUUGCUGUAUCAAUCGAUCGGGACAUGUGUGUGUGAGUGGGUAAAUCCGCUCGCAUUCACGUACACACGUAUGAGUGUGGCUGUUUGUGCGCGUACUAGCUGUACAAACCGGUUUUCGCUGUCUUCGCUACAACGCAUACCCUAAACCCGUAGCCUUGCCCGUAGCUUCCUUUCUUGCUCGCAUUGUAUAAGCUGGAAACAUCUGCCGCAAGUGGCCACAUUUGGCCUAUCCUACGACGUCUAAUCGCUCAUGCAUUAUGGACCGGAAGUGCCGAUCAGUGCGGACCGGCCAUCGUAUCGCUUCUACCGUUAACUUUUCAACGUACUUUUGCACUACUUGUUCUGUUCGAUCACUUUACGUUCAGUACCAUUUCUUACCCAGUUGCAUUUACACUACCAUUCAUUUCUAUUAAUACCAGGGCCGUCUUCCCGUACAGGACAUAUGCCCGUUGGAAACGGUUGCUGGAAACGGAUGGACUGCGUCAUUGCUGGGUAACGUUGCAGGGUAACGAGGGCAGAACUGCGUCACUAACAAUGUGAGUUCUUCCCACUGCCUCAUAUUAUGGAUCUCCUCCCUGUGCUUUUCCGAUACGUGCCGAUACAUGUAGCACCAAUGGAUUAUUUAUUUAUACGAUGCUCGCUACGGAGGCAACCAAGCAACCAAAUGCUUAACAUCAGAACAACACUGGAAAUGCUAUCCCGUUGCUACAGCGCAUUUUCCGGAGGACAUCAUCCGGAUUCACGGGAUACUCGUACAAUCAUCAUUUGUACCCGUACAUCAUUUGUACGAGUGCGUACAUUCACUACAGACAGCAACUGAAAAAAUUAAAAAAUUUUGUAAACUGAAAUAGGUUAGUGUAAAUUAAUUACUUACUUAAAAUUAACUUGAAUUGUGGGCAUGGUGCCACAAUAACGCUUGAGAUGUUGUAUAUUAUGGAAACGAUAAUUCCUCAGUUGGUCAGAUCUUUAGAAAUCUUAUUAAUAUUGUAAUAAAUCGUACUUACGAACACCGGUAUUAACUACAAACUGGAUAUUAUGAUAAUAA